UGGGGAAUAUUGGACAAUGGGCGCAAGCCUGAUCCAGCCAUGCCGCGUGAGUGAUGAAGGCCCCAGGGUUGUAAAGCUCUUUCACCGGUGAAGAUAAUGACGGUAACCGGAGAAGAAGCCCCGGCUAACUUCGUGCCAGCAGCCGCGGUAAUACGAAGGGGGCUAGCGUUGUUCGGAUUUACUGGGCGUAAAGCGCACGUAGGCGGACUAUUAAGUCAGGGGUGAAAUCCCGGGGCUCAACCCCGGAACUGCCUUUGAUACUGGUAGUCUUGAGUUCGAGAGAGGUGAGUGGAAUUCCGAGUGUAGAGGUGAAAUUCGUAGAUAUUCGGAGGAACACCAGUGGCGAAGGCGGCUCACUGGCUCGAUACUGACGCUGAGGUGCGAAAGCGUGGGGAGCAAACAGG
rnacentral:rRNA from 1 species